rnacentral:tRNA from 1 species
UCUGGGGUGGCGCAAAGCGAGCGCGUCGGACUUGAAUCCGAAGGGUGCUGGUGCAAGUCCAGCCCCCAGAC